GCCACUAGGUUGAUCUUCCUGUUUAUAAAUAAACACACCCUGCAAGGCAAGAGACUUCACUUCACAGACGUUCCUGCUCAGAAGUAUUGUCCUUCUGAACCGGACUUCAUCUGUCUUUGACUUUGGUUAAAAACUACAGUUUAGGAUAUUGGGGUUGGUGACUGAACAUGGCAGAAGAUGUUUGUGAGGACUAAGCCAGAACUGAACUUCAUUGACUUGACACGAAACCAUGGUUACCAGUCGAUGGAAUGUCUAGUUGGAUGAUUCUGACCUCUCACCUCUAUCGCCAUGGCGAACGCUGCCACAUCACCAUUGGUGCAUCGUUGUCGUGCCAACGUGGGGGCAGUGAGGAGGAUGAGGGGCGUGGCAAGGUUCACAUGCACUGUACAGGAAACUGCAAACUCCUCAAACAUCAUCUUCAUCAUCAUCAUCAUCAUAUCUAAACAUGCGGUUGGAGGCGUGUUCUAGGCGUGUAGCCGGAGCCUCAUUACAUGCGUGUUUGUGGUGGAAACAGAGAAGAGGGAGGCCAUGCAGACCUGGACAGUCAGGAGCUCUGACACACACACACACACACACACACACACAACCUUCUGUGCAUCCAUCUCCCUCCCUCUCACUCUUUCUCCCCCUUUCUCUUUCAACACAAUAUCAGUUCUUCUCAGUGCCCUAUCAACACUCACUGUCCGUAAAACGACACACUUGUAAACAGGCUUAUUUGGGAGCGACAGCCACCACCAUCUUGAUCAUCAGACAGCAUUCACUCGCCCUGAGAACCAUGCACUAUAGGGUUUCUCUUCUUAGAAAAUAAUAUAAAUCGUAGAAUAGAAAUUCUAUCUCUUUUGUUUUCUCUCUUAAGAUGCAGUUUCAACUUUUUUCCUUUCCACGCGUCACCCAGCGUGUGUC